AGAGUUUGAUCCUGGCUCAGAAUGAACGUUGGCGGCGUGGAUUAGGCAUGCAAGUCGAACGGGCCUGGUAGCAAUAUCAGGUCAGUGGCGUAAGGGUGAGUAAGGCGACGGCAACCAACCCCAAGGUUGGGCAUAGCCGCGGGAAACUGCGGGUAAUUCCCAGCGAAGUUCGUACCGGGCAUCCGGUGUGAACCAAAGUUCUGGCGCCGUGGGACGGGCCGUCGUGGUAUUAGGUAGUUGGCGGGGUAAUGGCCCACCGAGCCUCUGAUGCCUACCGGGCGUGCGAGCGUGGCCCGGCACACUGGGACUGAGACACUGCCCAGACUCCUACGGGAGGCUGCAGUCGAGAAUCUUCGGCAAUGGGCGCAAGCCUGACCGAGCGACGCCGCGUGGAGGAUGAAGGCCUUCGGGUUGUAAACCCCUUUCAGCAGGGACGAAGCGAGAGUGACGGUACCUGCAGAAGAAGCGCCGGCUAACUACGUGCCAGCAGCCGCGGUAACACGUAGGGCGCAAGCGUUGUCCGGAAUUAUUGGGCGUAAAGAGCUCGUAGGCUGUCUGUUGCGUCCGCUGUGAAAUCUCGGGGCUUAACCCCGAGCCUGCAGUGGAUACGGGCAGACUAGAGGUAGGUAGGGGAGAAUGGAAUU
rnacentral:rRNA from 1 species